CGCGCAUGCGCGGUGGUGUGUUGUUGUUGUUGUUGUUGGUUAACAAUCGCACGUGCUUUGGUAUUUCAAGAAGAAUCUGCCGAAAAACGAUGGAUUAUUUAACAACAGUGAUUGUAUAAAGAUUUGACUGGAUUUGGCAAGAUGCCCUUGCUCAUUAAAGAAGAUGGAGAUGUGGCUUUCCUCAGACAUGCCAGCUUUUUCACCAUGUUGUUAGUGAAGCAUCUUUCAGAGAAAAGGCUCAUGUUGUCUGGCUUGACAGUUUUGUCAACUGGAACACAUUCUCCAUGGUGUAAAGAUUUAUUUAGAGACUGUCCACCUGGUCGAGUUGGAGGAAGGGUGUCCCAGGGACGAAUUGUUUAUCUAUUCUGCAUCAGUAAAGCAGUGGUGGCGUGGCACUGACCUUAAACUAUUUAAGAUCAAACUGUGACAAAAGCUUUACCUGACCUGACUGCAGUCAGUUAUAUGUGAACCUGCCUGUGAAAAAACAGGAUAAGUCUUGAAAUGUAAUUAUGAUAUAAUGAGCAUCAAAGUGUUAUUUUCAUUAAUCUCACAUUGAUUUUGAUAUUUGACAUGAUUUUACUCAGUCAACCCCACACACCCAGACAACACUUUCUUUGAACUUUUGCCCUUUGGUGCUAGAGCACUAAAUACUAGACACAACAACAGUUUGUUCCUCAGGCUAAAACCUAAACAAUUAAAGCACCCAUAACUUCCACACCUGUCAUAAAUGUAUAUUGUUUAUAAUCACCACAUACUGUACAUCUGUAAAUACUAUUCUAAACUGUAAAUAUCACCUAUUAUCUAUCUGUACAAUAACAGCAUCUGAACAUCCAUACAUGCAUCACUACACACAAUUGUAAAAGAGGAGAAAAUAUAUAUACAUAUACUUAUUGUACCAUACUGCUUAUUUAAAUUAUUUUUGUUUUUAUAUGACUAGUGUGUUAUUGUCUUUAAUUUUACUUAGUUAUUCUAUGUAUGUCCGUAACAUGUCACCAAGAGAAAUUCCUUGAAUGUGACAUAAACAUCCUUGGCAAUAAAGCAGAUUCUGAUUCAAUAUUAAAGAUAUCAAGGUUAUAUUUUUACAGGAUGUUGUUUACAUUAAGUAGGAUGAGUUUUGAUA